AUGAUAAGAACUGAGAACUCAGAGAACUUCAAGGACAAGAUCAAUGUGGUGACCAGUGUUAUGGCGGCUGUGUAUGGUGGUGACCCCAGCCGCAGGACUCCCCAGGCCAUCUGCAUCUGCCCUACCAGGGAGAUUGCGCAGCAGGUGUUGAUGCAGGCAGAUAUGUUCCUGACCAAGCUGACCAGCAUGUGCAAGAGGAGCACGGAGAAGGGCUCUAUGUGGGUCACCAUGAAGCGAUGUGAGAGACCCCCUACCCUUACAGCUGGUUUGUGUGGUGUGGGUUGUAGAUUUGAUGGGUUCAACAACUCUGAUGUGAUGAGUUGUUCGAUGUGCGCAGUGUCAAUGAAGUGUCAGGCUAGGUUGAAGAAGAUGACGAGUAAGGGGGAGCCUGUUGAGUACCGGUGCCUGGUCUGCGCCACCGAUGGCAAGAGGAACAUCUCCACCUCGGUGUUAUUCACUUUCUCUCUGCUGCUGGUUCGGCAUUAUGUCUGCUGGAUGUGUUUUGCCUUAAUUCUGUGCCUGAUGGUAAUCAGGUUGCCGUUAUUUAGCCCCCUUGUGUGCUAUGAUUUGAAUUAUAGAUCAAACAUUUGCAUAUUUCCUUCGUGUAUCUGCUGUAUGAACUGA
rnacentral:rRNA from 1 species